rnacentral:sRNA from 1 species
CGACCAAGGUUCGACUUGAGCGCCAGCGAGAGAGCGUUGCCGCAGGCAACGACCCGAAGGGCGAAGCGCGCAGCGCUGAGUAAUCCUUCCCCCACCACCA